AUGCCAACGUCAUCAGUGGCAAAUGGGUGUUCCGCCACAAGACACGUCCGGAUGGAUCUCUCGUGCGCUACAAAGCUCGUUGAGUGGUCCGUGAGUUUUGACAGCAUGGGGGUGUCGUCUUCACCGACACCUUUGCCCCGGUUGUCAAAACCGGGCACGAUUCGCACAGUCCUUCAGUUGGCGGUCUCGUGCGCAUGGCCCGUGCAUCAGUUGGACGUCUCCAACGCUUUCCUGCAUGGCCACCUUGGCGAGCAGGUGUUCUGUCAACAACCCACUGGCUUCAUCGACGCCGAGCAUCCAGAUCACGCAUGCUUGCCCUCUCGUUCCCUCUAUAGGCUGAAGCAGGCGCCAUGGGCGUGGUACCAGCGUAUCGUGGCAUUCCUACAGUGGCUUGGUUUUCGGUCCACACUUUCCGAUGCUUCACUUUUCAUGUAUCAUCAGGGAGCUGCUACCGCGUACCUAGCUUUUGCUCUAUGUUGA
rnacentral:rRNA from 1 species